rnacentral:rRNA from 1 species
GGUUAAGCGACUAAGCGUACACGGUGGAUGCCCUGGCAGUCAGAGGCGAUGAAGGACGUGCUAAUCUGCGAUAAGCGUCGGUGAGGUGAUAUGAACCGUUAUAACCGGCGAUUUCCGAAUGGGGAAACCCAGUGUGUUUCGACACACUAUCAUUAACUGAAUCCAUAGGUUAAUGAGGCGAACCGGGGGAACUGAAACAUCUAAGUACCCCGAGGAAAAGAAAUCAACCGAGAUUCCCCCAGUAGCGGCGAGCGAACGGGGAGGAGCCCAGAGCCUGAAUCAGUGUGUGUGUUAGUGGAAGCGUCUGGAAAGGCGCGCGAUACAGGGUGACAGCCCCGUACACAAAAAUGCACAUAUUGUGAGCUCGAUGAGUAGGGCGGGACACGUGGUAUCCUGUCUGAAUAUGGGGGGACCAUCCUCCAAGGCUAAAUACUCCUGACUGACCGAUAGUGAACCAGUACCGUGAGGGAAAGGCGAAAAGAACCCCGGCGAGGGGAGUGAAAAAGAACCUGAAACCGUGUACGUACAAGCAGUGGGAGCCUCUUUAUGGGGUGACUGCGUACCUUUUGUAUAAUGGGUCAGCGACUUAUAUUCUGUAGCAAGGUUAACCGAAUAGGGGAGCCGAAGGGAAACCGAGUCUUAACUGGGCGUUAAGUUGCAGGGUAUAGACCCGAAACCCGGUGAUCUAGCCAUGGGCAGGUUGAAGGUUGGGUAACACUAACUGGAGGACCGAACCGACUAAUGUUGAAAAAUUAGCGGAUGACUUGUGGCUGGGGGUGAAAGGCCAAUCAAACCGGGAGAUAGCUGGUUCUCCCCGAAAGCUAUUUAGGUAGCGCCUCGUGAAUUCAUCUCCGGGGGUAGAGCACUGUUUCGGCAAGGGGGUCAUCCCGACUUACCAACCCGAUGCAAACUGCGAAUACCGGAGAAUGUUAUCACGGGAGACACACGGCGGGUGCUAACGUCCGUCGUGAAGAGGGAAACAACCCAGACCGCCAGCUAAGGUCCCAAAGUCAUGGUUAAGUGGGAAACGAUGUGGGAAGGCCCAGACAGCCAGGAUGUUGGCUUAGAAGCAGCCAUCAUUUAAAGAAAGCGUAAUAGCUCACUGGUCGAGUCGGCCUGCGCGGAAGAUGUAACGGGGCUAAACCAUGCACCGAAGCUGCGGCAGCGACACUAUGUGUUGUUGGGUAGGGGAGCGUUCUGUAAGCCUGUGAAGGUGGCCUGUGAGGGUUGCUGGAGGUAUCAGAAGUGCGAAUGCUGACAUAAGUAACGAUAAAGCGGGUGAAAAGCCCGCUCGCCGGAAGACCAAGGGUUCCUGUCCAACGUUAAUCGGGGCAGGGUGAGUCGACCCCUAAGGCGAGGCCGAAAGGCGUAGUCGAUGGGAAACAGGUUAAUAUUCCUGUACUUGGUGUUACUGCGAAGGGGGGACGGAGAAGGCUAUGUUGGCCGGGCGACGGUUGUCCCGGUUUAAGCGUGUAGGCUGGUUUUCCAGGCAAAUCCGGAAAACCAAGGCUGAGGCGUGAUGACGAGGCACUACGGUGCUGAAGCGACAAAUGCCCUGCUUCCAGGAAAAGCCUCUAAGCAUCAGGUAACAUCAAAUCGUACCCCAAACCGACACAGGUGGUCAGGUAGAGAAUACCAAGGCGCUUGAGAGAACUCGGGUGAAGGAACUAGGCAAAAUGGUGCCGUAACUUCGGGAGAAGGCACGCUGAUAUGUAGGUGAAGCGACUUGCUCGUGGAGCUGAAAUCAGUCGAAGAUACCAGCUGGCUGCAACUGUUUAUUAAAAACACAGCACUGUGCAAACACGAAAGUGGACGUAUACGGUGUGACGCCUGCCCGGUGCCGGAAGGUUAAUUGAUGGGGUUAGCGGUAACGCGAAGCUCUUGAUCGAAGCCCCGGUAAACGGCGGCCGUAACUAUAACGGUCCUAAGGUAGCGAAAUUCCUUGUCGGGUAAGUUCCGACCUGCACGAAUGGCGUAAUGAUGGCCAGGCUGUCUCCAC